GCCUGAGCCUUUCAGCGCGUCCUGCUGGACGCGCGGGCUUUGAAUAUCAUCUCCGGAUCGUGACCACGGAUAUACUGGCACGGUCCGUCGAGAUGGCAGGGAAGGUCGGGUUAGCCCGGCCUUUUUUUGU
rnacentral:sRNA from 1 species